rnacentral:rRNA from 1 species
GACGAACGCUGGCGGCGGGCUUAACACAUGCAAGUCGAACGGAAAGGCCCUGCUUUUGUGGGGUGCUCGAGUGGCGAACGGGUGAGUAACACGUGAGUAACCUGCCCUUGACUUUGGGAUAACUUCAGGAAACUGGGGCUAAUAUCGGAUAGGAGAUCCUGCUGCAUGGAGGGGGUUGGAAAGUUUCGGCGGGUGGGGCUGGACUCGCGGCUUACCGGCUUGUUGGUGGGGUAGGGGCUUACCAAGGCUUUGACGGGUAGCCGGCCUGGGAGGGUGACCGGCCACAUUGGGACUGAGGUACGGCCCAGACGCCUACGGGAGGCAGCAGUGGCGAAUAUUACACAAUGGGCCGAAGCCUGAUGCAGCAGCGCCGCGUUCGUGAUGACGGCCUUCGGGUUGUAAACCGCUUUCGCCUGUGACGAAGCUUGAGUGACGGUAAUGGGUAAAGAAGCACCGGCUAACUACGUG